UACGUAGGGUGCAAGCGUUAAUCGGAAUUACUGGGCGUAAAGAGCGCGCAGGCGGUCGGAUCAGUCGAAUGUGAAAGCCCCCCGGCUCAACUAGGGAGAGUCAUUCGAUACUGUUCGACUCGAAGGCAGGAGAGGGAAGUGGAAUUCCGGGUGUAGUGGUGAAAUGCGUAGAUAUCCGGAGGAACACCAGUGGCGAAGGCGACUUUCUGGCCUGUUCUUGACGCUGAGGCGCGAAAGCUAGGGGAGCAAACGGG
rnacentral:rRNA from 1 species